rnacentral:rRNA from 1 species
AUUGAACGCUGGCGGCAUGCCUUACACAUGCAAGUCGAACGGUAACAGGUCUUCGGAUGCUGACGAGUGGCGAACGGGUGAGUAAUACAUCGGAACGUGCCUAGUAGUGGGGGAUAACUACUCGAAAGAGUGGCUAAUACCGCAUGAGAUCUACGGAUGAAAGCAGGGGAUCGCAAGACCUUGUGCUACUAGAGCGGCCGAUGGCAGAUUAGGUAGUUGGUGGGAUAAAAGCUUACCAAGCCGACGAUCUGUAGCUGGUCUGAGAGGACGCUCAGCCACAGUGGGACUGAGACACGGCCCAGGCUCCUUCGGGAGGCAGCAGUGGGGAAUUUUGGACAAUGGGCGCAAGCCUGAUCCAGCAAUGCCGCGUGCAGGAUGAAGGCCUUCGGGUUGUAAACUGCUUUUGUACGGAACGAAAAGCCCUGGGUUAAUACCCUGGGGUCAUGACGGUACCGUAAGAAUAAGCACCGGCUAACUACGUGCCAGCCGCCGCCGUAAAAC